rnacentral:rRNA from 1 species
GACGAACGCUGGCGGCGUGCUUAACACAUGCAAGUCGAACGAAGUGGCGAACGGGUGAGUAACGCGUAAUCAACCUGCCCUUCAGAGGGGGCCAACAGUUGGAAACGACUGCUAAUACCGCAUACUGAAGGAGGGGAUUGCGUGUGAUGAGAUGGUUGGAGGGGUCACGGCCCACCAAGGCGAUGAUCAGUAGCAGGUCUGAGAGGAUGAACGGCCAAAUUGGGACUGAGACAAGGCCCAGACUCCGACGGGAGGCAGCAGGGGGGAAUCUUCCGCAAUGGACGAAAGGCUGACGGAGCAACGCCGGGUGAGUGAUGAGGGCCUUCGGGUUGGAAAGCUCUGUUAAUCGGGACGCGGUACCGGAAUAGAAAGCCACGGCUAACUACGUGCCAGCAGCCGCGGUAAUAC